rnacentral:rRNA from 1 species
CGCUGGCGGCGUGCUUAACACAUGCAAGUCGAACGCGAAAGGGACUUCGGUCCUGAGUAAAGUGGCGCACGGGUGAGUGACGCGUAGAUAACCUGUCUUCAUGUCUGGAAUAAUACGCCGAAAGGGGUACUAAUACCGGAUAUUCUUUGCUUUUCAUAAGUUAUGCAAGCAAAGGUGGCCUCUGCAUAUGCUACUGCAUGAAGAGGGGUCUGCGUACCAUUAGCUAGUAGGUGGGGUAAUGGCCUACCUAGGCGACGAUGGUUUAGCGGGUCUGAGAGGAUGAUCCGCCACACUGGCACUGGAACACGGGCCAGACUCCUACGGGAGGCAGCAGUGAGGAAUAUUGCGCAAUGGGGGAAACCCUGACGCAGCGACGCCGCGUGAGUGAGGAAAAGGCCUUCGGGUCGUAAAGCUCUGUCAAGAGGAAAGAAGUGUACAAUGGCUAAUACCUGUUGUAUUUGACGGUACCUCUAAAGGAAGCACCGGCUAACUCCGUGCCAGCAGCAGC